rnacentral:rRNA from 1 species
GUAAUCGCGCAUCAGCCACGGCGCGGUGAAUACGUUCCCGGGCCUUGUACACACCGCCCGUCAAGCCAUGGAAGCCGGGAGUGCCUGAAGUGCGUGACCGCAAGGAGCGUCCUAAGGCAAUACCGGUGACUGGGGCUAAGUCGUAACAAGGUAGC